rfam:Gossypium hirsutum cultivar TM-1 chromosome 11, whole genome shotgun sequence
AUCCCAUGAUGAGAACACUUAUGACGUAGAUCCUUGAAUAGUUCUCAAGCCUCAUACAAAGACUCAUCAUCUAAUUGUUGAAAAGUUGUUAUCUAAUUUUACAACUU